UACAGAGGGUGCGAGCGUUAAUCGGAAUUACUGGGCGUAAAGCGUGCGCAGGCGGUUGUGUAAGACAGAUGUGAAAUCCCCGGGCUCAACCUGGGAACUGCAUUUGUGACUGCACGGCUCGAGUGCGGCAGAGGGGGAUGGAAUUCCGCGUGUAGCAGUGAAAUGCGUAGAUAUGCGGAGGAACACCGAUGGCGAAGGCAAUCCCCUGGGCCUGCACUGACGCUCAUGCAUGAAAGCGUGGGGAGCAAACAGG
rnacentral:rRNA from 1 species